rnacentral:rRNA from 1 species
AACGAACGCUGGCGGCAGGCUUAACACAUGCAAGUCGAACGCCCCGCAAGGGGAGUGGCAGACGGGUGAGUAACGCGUGGGAAUCUACCCAGUUCUACGGAAUAACCCAGGGAAACUUGGACUAAUACCGUAUACGCCCUACGGGGGAAAGAUUUAUCGGAAUUGGAUGAGCCCGCGUUGGAUUAGCUAGUUGGUGGGGUAAUGGCCUACCAAGGCGACGAUCCAUAGCUGGUCUGAGAGGAUGAUCAGCCACACUGGGACUGAGACACGGCCCAGACUCCUACGGGAGGCAGCAGUGGGGAAUAUUGGACAAUGGGCGCAAGCCUGAUCCAGCCAUGCCGCGUGAGUGAUGAAGGCCUUAGGGUUGUAAAGCUCUUUCAGUGGGGACGAUAAUGACGGUACCCACAGAAGAAGCCCCGGCUAACUUCGUGCCAGCCGCCGCCGUAACAC